rnacentral:rRNA from 1 species
GACGGACGCUGGCGGCGUGCCUAAUACAUGCAAGUAGAACGCUGAAGAGAGGAGCUUGCUCUUCUUGGAUGAGUUGCGAACGGGUGAGUAACGCGUAGGUAACCUGCCUUGUAGCGGGGGAUAACUAUUGGAAACGAUAGCUAAUACCGCAUAACAAUGGAUGACACAUGUCAUUUAUUUGAAAGGGGCAAUUGCUCCACUACAAGAUGGACCUGCGUUGCAUUAGCUAGUAGGUGAGGUAAUGGCUCACCUAGGCGACGAUACAUAGCCGACCUGAGAGGGUGAUCGGCCACACUGGGACUGAGACACGGCCCAGACUCCUACGGGAGGCAGCAGUAGGGAAUCUUCGGCAAUGGGGGCAACCCUGACCGAGCAACGCCGCGUGAGUGAAGAAGGUUUUCGGAUCGUAAAGCUCUGUUGUAAGUCAAGAACGGGUGUGAGAGUGGAAAGUUCACACUGUGACGGUAGCUUACCAGAAAGGGACGGCUAACUACGUG